rnacentral:rRNA from 1 species
AGUGAACGCUGGCGGUAGGCCUAACACAUGCAAGUCGAACGGCAGCACAGUAAGAGCUUGCUCUUACGGGUGGCGAGUGGCGGACGGGUGAGAAAUACAUCGGAAUCUACUUUUUCGUGGGGGAUAACGUAGGGAAACUUACGCUAAUACCGCAUACGACCUACGGGUGAAAGCAGGGGAUCUUCGGACCUUGCGCGAUUGAAUGAGCCGAUGUCGGAUUAGCUAGUUGGCGGGGUAAAGGCCCACCAAGGCGACGAUCCGUAGCUGGUCUGAGAGGAUGGUCAGCCACACUGGAACUGAGACACGGUCCAGACUCCUACGGGAGGCAGCAGUGGGGAAUAUUGGACAAUGGGCGCAAGCCUGAUCCAGCCAUACCGCGUGGGUGAAGAAGGCCUUCGGGUUGUAAAGCCCUUUUGUUGGGAAAGAAAAGCAGCAGGUUAAGACCCCGCUGUUCUGACGGUACCCAAAGAAUAAGCACCGGCUAACUUCGUG